rnacentral:pre_miRNA from 1 species
AAUGGGAUAGCUGGGUCAAAUAGAGGUUUUCAUUCCAAGUUUUCUAAGGAAUCUCCACACUGCUUUCCAAAGUGGUUGCAUCAAUUUGCAGUCCCACCAGCAAU